UGAAAAGUCGAUGACAUGGAGGGCCAAGGAGAAGGUAGAUCUCAAGCCCUAAAAUCAUCACAUAUGCAACAUCUCUAGGCCAGGAUUUAUCUGUUCUGUCCAAGAAGAGAAUAAGGAAUGAGAAACUAAACCCUGGUAGGAAAAGGGUCUCAAGGAAGACAAGGCAUGUGACCAAGGAAGACUGAGGGAGAUGGCGACCUGCUGAGGAGCCAGAGCAGCAGAAUCCCUGGGACUCACAGGUA